CUCAACAUGGCCGCGCAUUCGGUCGCUCAGAGGAAUCAUUUCCUUAUUUGACUACUUACGUCUUAAACACUGUGUCAACAGCUUCUGCUCUCACUAAAUAUUCUCACCCGUGAACAAUGGCAUUUAAUGACAUACCCGUCGACACUUUAAAAAGAAUAUUAGGCGCUUUCUCUCCAUAUCAUUAAGUAUCUCAAAUGCGCACACUGUGGACUUUUACACGCGUGAUGUUUGGAGUACGUUUAAGUGAGUCCAGAGGAAGUGUUUUGUGCUUACAGUUCCACACAAGACCGCAUGAGAGCGAUAGAAGAGCAUGCAGACAUUUGCGACAGGGCAGGAUAGAGAUAAAUGGAAACAGAGUGGCUGUGAAGUGGUGAAUGGAGUAUGGAUGAGUGGAGAUGGCAAGCCUUGUUUACCCAAACACUUCUUUCCUCGCUAUGCUAAGUCGAUGCAUGGGAAAGACCACACAUCGAAAGGGGGAAUGAUUAUGGUGUGCUACUUGAUCGCAAUCUUUCCUUAGAAAGCCACGUUUCUAGCAUUUGUAAAACUGCAUUUUUCCAUCUCAAAAAUAUAUCUAAAUUACGGCCUAUGCUCUCAAUGUCAAAUGCAGAAAUGUUAAUCCAUGCAUUUAUGACUUCAAGGUUAGACUACUGUAAUGCUUUAUUGGGUGGUUGUUCUGCACGCUUGGUAAACAAACUACAGCUAGUCCAAAAUGCAGCAGCAAGAGUUCUUACUAGAACCAGGAAGUAUGACCAUAUUAGCCCGGUCCUGUCCACACUGCACUGGCUCCCUAUCAAACAUCGUAUAGAUUUUAAAAUAUUGCUUAUUACUUAUAAAGCCCUGAAUGGUUUAGCACCUCAGUAUUUGAAUGAGCUCCUUUUACAUUAUACUCCUCUACGUCCGCUACGUUCUCAAAACUCAGGCAAUUUGAUAAUACCUAGAAUAUCAAAAUCAACUGCGGGCGGCAGAUCCUUUUCCUAUUUGGCGCCUAAACUCUGGAAUAACCUACCUAACAUUGUUCGGGAGGCAGACACACUCUUGCAGUUUAAAUCUAGAUUAAAGAUCCAUCUCUUUAACCUGGCAUACACAUAACAUACUAAUAUGCUUUUAAUAUCCAAAUCCGUUAAAGGAUUUUUAGGCUGCAUUAAUUAGGUAAACUGGAACCGGAACACUUCACAUAACACCGUACUUUCUACAUCAUUAGAAGAAUGGCAUCUACGCUAAUAUUUGUCUGUUUCUCUCUUGUUCCGAGGUCACCGUGGCCACCAGAUCCAGUCUGUGUCCAGAUCAGAGGGUCACUGCAGUCACCCGGAUCCAGUACGUAUCCAGACCAGAUGGUGGAUCAGCACCUAGAAAGGACCUCUACUGCCCUGAAAGACAGCGGAGACCAGGACAACUAGAGCCACAGAUACAGAUCCCCUGUAAAGACCUUGUCUCAGAGGAGCACCAGGACAAGACCACAGGAAACAGAUGAUUCUUCUGCACAAUCUGACUUUGCUGCAGCCUGGAAUUGAACUACUGGUUUCGUCUGGUCAGAGGAGAACUGGCCCCCCAACUGAGCCUGGUUUCUCCCAAGGUUUUUUUCUCCAUUCUGUCACCGAUGGAGUUUCGGUUCCUUGCCGCUGUCGCCUCUGGCUUGCUUAGUUGGGGUCACUUCAUCUACAGCGAUAUCGUUGACUUGAUUGCAAAUUAAAACCGACACUAUUUCAACUGAACAGAGAUGACAUCAAUGAAUUCAAUGAUGAACUGCCUUUAACUAUCAUUUUGCAUUAUUGAGACACUGUUUUCCAAAUGAAUGUUGUUCAGUGCUUUGGUGCAAUGUAUUUUGUUUAAAGCACUAUAUAAAUAAAGGUGAUUGAUUGAUUGAUUGAUUAUGCAAAUUAAAGAAUUGUGGUUUACAAA